UCCACUGUUUCGAACAUGACGAAAAGAAGAGCGGCGGCGGUGGCGCAACCGCCAAGUACAAGCAGAAGGUUGGGGACGGGCUUGAGAAGACCAAAUCCGUGGCUUCAACCGGGAUGAAGAAGGUCAAACAAGGAACCUCUUCGGGGAUUCAGUGGAUCAAAGACAAGUAUC